AGAGUUUGAUCCUGGCUCAGGAUGAACGCCGGCGGUGUGCCUAAUACAUGCAAGUCGUACGCACUGGCCCAACUGAUUGAUGGUGCUUGCACCUGAUUGACGAUGGAUCACCAGUGAGUGGCGGACGGGUGAGUAACACGUAGGUAACCUGCCCCGGAGCGGGGGAUAACAUUUGGAAACAGAUGCUAAUACCGCAUAACAACAAAAGCCACAUGGCUUUUGUUUGAAAGAUGGCUUUGGCUAUCACUCUGGGAUGGACCUGCGGUGCAUUAGCUAGUUGGUAAGGUAACGGCUUACCAAGGCGAUGAUGCAUAGCCGAGUUGAGAGACUGAUCGGCCACAAUGGAACUGAGACACGGUCCAUACUCCUACGGGAGGCAGCAGUAGGGAAUCUUCCACAAUGGGCGCAAGCCUGAUGGAGCAACACCGCGUGAGUGAAGAAGGGUUUCGGCUCGUAAAGCUCUGUUGUUGGAGAAGAACGUGCGUGAGAGUAACUGUUCACGCAGUGGCGGUAUCCAACCAGAAAGUCACGGCUAACUACGUGCCAGCAGCCGCGGUAAUACGUAGGUGGCAAGCGUUAUCCGGAUUUAUUGGGCGUAAAGCGAGCGCAGGCGGUUGCUUAGGUCUGAUGUGAAAGCCUUCGGCUUAACCGAAGAAGUGCAUCGGAAACCGGGCGACUUGAGUGCAGAAGAGGACAGUGGAACUCCAUGUGUAGCGGUGGAAUGCGUAGAUAUAUGGAAGAACACCAGUGGCGAAGGCGGCUGUCUGGUCUGCAACUGACGCUGAGGCUCGAAAGCAUGGGUAGCGAACAGGAUUAGAUACCCUGGUAGUCCAUGCCGUAAACGAUGAGUGCUAGGUGUUGGAGGGUUUCCGCCCUUCAGUGCCGGAGCUAACGCAUUAAGCACUCCGCCUGGGGAGUACGACCGCAAGGUUGAAACUCAAAGGAAUUGACGGGGGCCCGCACAAGCGGUGGAACAUGUGGUUUAAUUCGAAGCUACGCGAAGAACCUUACCAGGUCUUGACAUCUUGCGCUAACCUUAGAGAUAAGGCGUUCCCUUCGGGGACGCAAUGACAGGUGGUGCAUGGUCGUCGUCAGCUCGUGUCGUGAGAUGUUGGGUUAAGUCCCGCAACGAGCGCAACCCUUGUUACUAGUUGCCAGCAUUAAGUUGGGCACUCUAGUGAGACUGCCGGUGACAAACCGGAGGAAGGUGGGGACGACGUCAGAUCAUCAUGCCCCUUAUGACCUGGGCUACACACGUGCUACAAUGGACGGUACAACGAGUCGCAAGCUCGCGAGAGUAAGCUAAUCUCUUAAAGCCGUUCUCAGUUCGGACUGUAGGCUGCAACUCGCCUACACGAAGUCGGAAUCGCUAGUAAUCGCGGAUCAGCAUGCCGCGGUGAAUACGUUCCCGGGCCUUGCACUCACCGCCCGUCA
rnacentral:rRNA from 1 species